UACAGAGGGUGCAAGCGUUAAUCGGAUUUACUGGGCGUAAAGGGUGCGUAGGUGGUUAUUUAAGUUUGAUGUGAAAGCCCUGGGCUUAACCUAGGAACUGCAUUGAAAACUGGGUAACUUGAGUACUGUAGAGGGUAGUGGAAUUUCCGGUGUAGCGGUGAAAUGCGUAGAGAUCGGAAGGAACACCAGUGGCGAAGGCGGCUACCUGGACAGAUACUGACACUGAGGCACGAGAGCGUGGGGAGCAAACAGG
rnacentral:rRNA from 1 species